UCCAAGACUCCAAGUAUUUUCCAUUGAAAUAAUUAGAUGGAAGGCUACCUCAGCAUGGUCUUUUCACAAUUAAAUUCAAGAUGGCUGAUUGAAUUCUUAGUCAAAGUUCUAAUGUGCAAGAUGUUAUAAAGUUGUAAACUUGGCUACACAUGUUUCGCGAUGGCACCAUGUCUUGUGUAAAAAUUGUGGUUGAAAUAUUUGCUCAUGAAUUGUUUCACGCUAAUAAACCCAUCAUAUUCUGUGGUCAACGUUAACCGAGAAGUUUCGUGAAAAUGUUUUAAAGAAAAACCAGCACAAAUGUAGAGAGGCUGAGCUGCCAAGCAAAGAAGUCUCAAUUACCUUCAGAUGUUGGAUUAUUAACAUAUACAUCAAAAACAAGACCAGUAUUAGAGUAUGCAUCGGCAGUCUGGGCAGGACUUCCACAUUUUUUACAGCAAGAAAUUGAACGUGUACAAAGAAGAAGUUUAAAAAUUUUACAACUAGAUAAAAACUACUUGCCCUCUUUGAAAAACAGACGUGAACUAGCAAUUACCCAAGAGAUCAAAAGGAUUAUAGAAGAACCUGAUCAUCCAUGCAAAUUUUUGGUACCUUAUCCCAAAGAAAACUCGCACGAGUUGCGUAAAAGCAAAACGUAUAGUAUUUUAUCUCGGACCAAACGUCAUAAACAAUCUUUUAUUGCUAGAUCUUGUAAAUAUAUAUAUAAUAAAGUUAACAUGUAAUUUUUAGUAUAGUAUGAUAAAUAUAUAGAAAAUCAAUGUAAAUUCAUCGUACUUUUUAAUCUGAAGAUGAAAAAUAAAAACCUUUAACCUUUAA